rnacentral:rRNA from 1 species
UAAAAGUCGUAACAAGGUCUCCGUUGGUGAACCAGCGGAGGGAUCAUUACCGAGUUUACAACUCCCAAACCCAAUGUGAACGUUACCAAACUGUUGCCUCGGCGGGAUCUCUGCCCCGGGUGCGUCGCAGCCCCGGACCAAGGCGCCCGCCGGAGGACCAACCAAAACUCUUUUUGUAUACCCCCUCGCGGGUUUUUUAUAAUCUGAGCCUUCUCGGCGCCUCUCGUAGGCGUUUCGAAAAUGAAUCAAAACUUUCAACAACGGAUCUCUUGGUUCUGGCAUCGAUGAAGAACGCAGCGAAAUGCGAUAAGUAAUGUGAAUUGCAGAAUUCAGUGAAUCAUCGAAUCUUUGAACGCACAUUGCGCCCGCCAGUAUUCUGGCGGGCAUGCCUGUCCGAGCGUCAUUUCAACCCUCGAACCCCUCCGGGGGGUCGGCGUUGGGGAUCGGCCCUCCCUUAGCGGGUGGCCGUCUCCGAAAUACAGUGGCGGUCUCGCCGCAGCCUCUCCUGCGCAGUAGUUUGCACACUCGCAUCGGGAGCGCGGCGCGUCCACAGCCGUUAAACACCCAACUUCUGAAAUGUGACCUCGGAUC